GAUGAAGAACGUAGUGAAAUGCGAUAAGUAGUGUGAAUUGCAGAAUUCAGUGAAUCAUCGAAUCUUUGAACGCACAUUGCGCCCUUUGGUAUUCCAAAGGGCAUGCCUGUUCGAGCGUCAUUUGUACCCUCAAGCUUUGCUUGGUGUUGGGCGUCUUGUCUCUAGCUUUGCUGGAGACUCGCCUUAAAGUAAUUGGCAGCCGGCCUACUGGUUUCGGAGCGCAGCACAAGUCGCACUCUCUGUCAGCAAAGGUCUAGCAUCCAUUAAGCCUUUUUUUCAACUUUUGACCUCGGAUCAGGUAGGGAUACCCGCUGAACUUAAGCAUAUCAAUAAGCGGAGGA
rnacentral:misc_RNA from 1 species